rnacentral:rRNA from 1 species
CUGAUCAGAAAAGCCACGGCUAACUACGUGCCAGCAGCCGCGGUAAUACGUAGGUGGCAAGCGUUAUCCGGAAAUUAUUGGGCGUAAAGCGCGCGUAGGCGGUUUUUUAAGUCCUGAUGUGAAAGCCCACGGCUCAACCGUGGAGGGUCAUUGGAAACUGGAAAACUUGAGUGCAGAAGAGGAAAGUGGAAUUCCAUGUGUAGCGGUGAAAUGCGCAGAGAUAUGGAGGAACACCAGUGGCGAAGGCGACUUUCUGGUCUGUAACUGACGCUGAUGUGCGAAAGCGUGGGGAUCAAACAGGAUUAGAUACCCUGGUAGUCCACGCCGUAAACGAUGAGUGCUAAGUGUUAGGGGGUUUCCGCCCCUUAGUGCUGCAGCUAACGCAUUAAGCACUCCGCCUGGGGAGUACGACCGCAAGGUUGAAACUCAAAGGAAUUGACGGGGACCCGCACAAGCGGUGGAGCAUGGUGGUUUAAUUCGAAGCAACGCGAAACCUUACCAAAUCUUGACAUCCUUUGACCGCUCUAGAAGAUAGAGUUUCCCCUUCGGGGGACAAAG